AAGUGCGAAUGCUGACAUAAGUAACGAUAAAACGGGUGAAAAACCCGUUCGCCGGAAGACCAAGGGUUCCUGUCCAACGUUAAUCGGGGCAGGGUGAGUCGGCCCCUAAGGCGAGGCUGAAAAGCGUAGUCGAUGGGAAACAGGUUAAUAUUCCUGUACUUGGUAAAGCUGCGAUGUGGGGACGGAGUAGGUUAGGUUAGCGUGCUGUUGGAUAUGCACGUUUAAGUUGGUAGGUGGGAAGUUUAGGCAAAUCCGGACUUCUAUUAAACACUGAGAGAUGAUGACGAGGCUCUACGGAGCUGAAGUAACUGAUACCACACUUCCAGGAAAAGCCACUAAGCGACAGGCUUUACUAAACCGUACUGAAAACCGACACAGGUGGUCAGGUAGAGAAUACUCAGGCGCUUGAGAGAACUCGGGUGAAGGAACUAGGCAAAAUAGCACCGUAACUUCGGGAGAAGGUGCGCCGGCGUAGAUUGUAAGGGCUAGCCCCUGAAGGUUGAACCGGUCGAAGAUACCAGCUGGCUGCAACUGUUUAUUAAAAACACAGCACUCUGCAAACACGAAAGUGGAGGUAUAGGGUGUGAUGCCUGCCCGGUGCUGGAAGGUUAAUUGAUGGUGUAAUCGAAAGAGAAGCACCUGAUCGAAGCCCCAGUAAACGGCGGCCGUAACUAUAACGGUCCUAAGGUAGCGAAAUUCCUUGUCGGGUAAGUUCCGACCUGCACGAAUGGCAUAAUGAUGGCCAGGCUGUCUCCACCCGAGACUCAGUGAAAUUGAAAUCGCCGUGAAGAUGCGGUGUACCCGCGGCUAGACGGAAAGACCCCGUGAACCUUUACUAUAGCUUGACACUGAACAUUGAAUUUUGAUGUGUAGGAUAGGUGGGAGACUAAGAAGUAGGAACGCCAGUUUCUAUGGAGUCAUCCUUGAAAUACCACCCUUUAACGUUUGAUGUUCUAACGAAGAUUACGAAACGUGGUCUCGGACAGUGUCUGGUGGGUAGUUUGACUGGGGCGGUCUCCUCCCAAAGCGUAACGGAGGAGCACGAAGGUUUGCUAAUCACGGUCGGACAUCGUGAGGUUAGUGCAAUGGUAUAAGCAAGCUUAACUGCGAGACAGACAAGUCGAGCAGGUACGAAAGUAGGUCAUAGUGAUCCGGUGGUUCUGAAUGGAAGGGCCAUCGCUCAACGGAUAAAAGGUACUCCGGGGAUAACAGGCUGAUACCGCCCAAGAGUUCAUAUCGACGGCGGUGUUUGGCACCUCGAUGUCGGCUCAUCACAUCCUGGGGCUGAAGUAGGUCCCAAGGGUAUGGCUGUUCGCCAUUUAAAGUGGUACGCGAGCUGGGUUUAGAACGUCGUGAGACAGUUCGGUCCCUAUCUGCCGUGGGCGUAGGAGAAUUGGUUGGGGCUGCUCCUAGUACGAGAGGACCGGAGUGGACGCACCACUGGUGUUCCGGUUGUGUCGCCAGACGCAUUGCCGGGUAGCUAAGUGCGGAAGAGAUAAGUGCUGAAAGCAUCUAAGCACGAAACUUGCCAAGAGAUGAGUUCUCCCUGUCUUUAAGACAGUAAGGGUUGUUUAAGACGAAGACGUAGAUAG
rnacentral:rRNA from 1 species